rnacentral:rRNA from 1 species
UACGGAGGGUGCGAGCGUUUUCCGGAAUCACUGGGCGUAAAGGGCGCGUAGGCGGCCUGAUAAGUAUGGGGUGAAAUCCUGCGGCUUAACCGCAGGGCUGCCUUCUAAACUGUCAGGCUUGAGCACAGUAGAGGCAGGUGGAAUUCCCGGUGUAGCGGUGGAAUGCGUAGAGAUCGGGAAGAACAUCAGUGGCGAAGGCGGCCUGCUGGGCUGUUGCUGACGCUGAGGCGCGACAGCGUGGGGAGCAAACAGG